rnacentral:rRNA from 1 species
UACGAAGGGGGCUAGCGUUGCUCGGAAUGACUGGGCGUAAAGGGCGCGUAGGCGGUUGGCACAGUCAGAUGUGAAAUUCCCGGGCUUAACCUGGGGGCUGCAUUUGAUACGUGUGAUCUAGAGUGAGGAAGAGGGUCGUGGAAUUCCCAGUGUAGAGGUGAAAUUCGUAGAUAUUGGGAAGAACACCGGUGGCGAAGGCGGCGACCUGGUCCUUGACUGACGCUGAGGCGCGAAAGCGUGGGGAGCAAACAGG